GACCCGCAGAGAGCCUGCAUCUCGAACUCUAUCAUGCACCCAAACACGGCGGCGUUUGGGUUUCCUUCCUCGGACUCCUAAAUCCAGCGCAGCCACAGGCGCGUAGCUGCCUAUCAUACCAAAAUGACCAACGAAGGCGAAGGACAACUCUGGGGUGGUGACUGGUCUGUCUAGUUACUGGACCAGAUGAAAUGAGACGGAGAGGUAAUAAAGUCUGUCGGCACGAGGACCUUGGAUUUAUCAAGUAAAGUGGCAACGGUUAUACAGAGUCAUAAGCGUGAGAAAUCGAAUAUGUCUAAGUCCCUAAUCAGCGCUGAUGGUUCGUCCGGAGCUUCGCCUCCGUGGAAGGUCUGCUUCAGAAGAAGGUGAAGAGUCUCUGUGUGACACAGUCUUAUGCUGUAUCUUCCUCGUGAUGAGGUGUGUGCGUUUGAGAUGUGUAUGGUUCUGUGUGUUAUUGCUUGACCUUGGCUCCCAGGCACUAGUAUAUGCAUGUGUAUCUUCUUGUGUUCCUCCUCACGGGGGAGAGCUUCAGAGUAUCUCCUGUUGUGGCCCUCCCGUUCUUGAGGAUGACUGGUGCAUUGUCUGAGUGUCUACCAUGUGCCUGGAGGAGAAAUGGGGCCCUGGCUCCGGCCUUGACCUGACUAUAUUCUCAUGUGUGUGCUAUGUGUUAAAAGUUGACUACAUUGUAAGGUGACUGCCAUGUGAUGUGCUCAUCAAUGUGUUAAAAGUUGACUAUAUUGUAAGGUGACUGCCAUGUGAUGUGCUCAUCAGGCUAGGGUAGGAGUUAGCUAUAUUUAUAAUGUACAUGUGAUGUACUCAGCAGGUUAUUUUGCCCAACAACUGCGUGUGCAGUACUGCACAACAUUUGCGUUGGUGUGGGCGAUGACCUCCCAGUGGAGGAUGGGGCCCUGGAGGGAGAUGACCCUCCUCUUGAAGGAGAAUGUGGCACGGAGUCACAGAGUGGAGCUCCUUGGCGUGCGGCACUGGCCAAUGCCAUUACCCCUCUUGAAGUGGCUCCACAGGACCACGACUACUUUGUUCUGCCUGUGACCGGACCAAGACAUACAUUUUAACAUACAUUUUUUUUAUAUUAUUUAAUCACUUUUAUCCAUUAUGAAUGUGUUUUUUGUUGUGGUUGAUCGAAUCCUCUUUAUUUAAAAAAAUCAAUUACAUUUUUGUAAAACUAAGUGAAAUUGUCUGAGAACUUAAUUUAUGCAUCACAUUUACAGUAUGGUUGAUUAUUAAUUAUGCAGGGGGAAAAAAGACAAAGAAAGUGUUGAUAAACAUGUAUUUAUUUUUAUAGAUAACUGAUUGGAUCUCAUUCAUACAUACAU
ensembl:lncRNA